rnacentral:rRNA from 1 species
GACGAACGCUGGCGGCGUGCUUAACACAUGCCAGUCGAACGGAAAGGCCCUGCUUUUGUGGGGUGCUCGAGUGGCGAACGGGUGAGUAACACGUGAGUAACCUGCCCUUGACUUUGGGAUAACUUCAGGAAACUGCGGCUAAUACCGGAUAGGAGCUCCUGCUGCAUGGUGGGGGUUGGAAAGUUUCGGCGGUGGGGGAUGGACUCGCGGCUUAUCAGCUUGUUGGUGGGGUAGUGGCUUACCAAGGCUUUGACGGGUAGCCGGCCUGAGAGGGUGACCGGCCACAUUGGGACUGAGAUACGGCCCAGACUCCUACGGGAGGCAGCAGUGGGGAAUAUUGCCCAAUGGGCGGAAGCCUGAUGCAGCAACGCCGCGUGCGGGAUGACGGCCUUCGGGUUGUAAACCGCUUUCGCCCGUGACGAAGCGGGAGUGACGGUAAUGGGUAAAGAAGCACCGGCUAACCACGUG